GGANAGGUGGUCGAGUGGUUGAUGGCUCUGGUCUUGAAAACCAGCGAUGUGAAAGCAUCCGUGGGUUCGAAUCCCACCCUCUCCG
rnacentral:tRNA from 1 species